CAAGAAGAAAUUAAGA
rnacentral:sRNA from 1 species